AUUGAACGCUGGCGGCAGGCUUAACACAUGCAAGUCGAGCGAGAGGCGGACGGGUGAGUAAUCUCUGGGAAACUGCCAUAUGGAGGGGGAACAAUACUGGAAACGAUCGCAAACACCACAUACCAUGAGAUGUGCAAAGAGGGGAUUAGCUAGUAGGUGGGGUAAUGGCUCACCUAGGCGACGAUCCCUAGCUGGUCUGAGAGGGUGCCCAGCCACACUGGAACUGAGACACGGUCCAGACUCCUACGGGAGGCAGCAGUGUGGAAUAUUGCACAAUGGGCGCAAGCCUGAUGCAGCCAUGCCGCGUGUGUGAAGAAGGCCUUCGGGUUGUAAAGCACUUUCAGCGAGGAGGCGUUACCCGCAGAAGAAGCACCGGCUAACUCCGUGCCAGCCGCCGCGGUAAUUC
rnacentral:rRNA from 1 species